rnacentral:rRNA from 1 species
UACGUAGGCAGCAAGCGUUGUCCGGAUUUACUGGGCGUAAAGGGCGUGCAGGCGGUCUGUUAAGUUCAGGGUGAAAGCUCCCGGCUCAACUGGGAGAGGUCCUUGGAUACUGGCAGACUUGAGGAGGGUAGAGGAGAGUGGAAUUCCCGGUGUAGUGGUGAUAUGCGUAGAUAUCGGGAGGAACACCAGUGGCGAAGGCGGCUCUCUGGGCCCUACCUGACGCUGAGACGCGAAAGCGUGGGGAGCGAACCGG